CACAGCUGCUUCCCAGCGUCUCCCAAAUCCCGUCUACGGCCUACCUCGCCGACGGCCAGUGCCUGCCAAAACCCUCGAUCGUCUCCUUCCGUGCGUCCGAGGUGGUGGUGCACAUAGGAGAGAUGGCACACGAAAGGUGCUCAUGGAGGUCACGACCGAGAUAGGGCCGCACUUGGCCGGCAACAGACUAUGCGCACGGCGGGAGGUGGCCAAUUUUCACUGCUGGCUAACCUAUCCGGCUCGCCCCAUGGAGGUGGACAGCCAUUGGGAGGUCACGGUCGUUGCGAGAGGUUGGGUGGAGGCACAGCAGGGCUUCAACGUUCUUGCCUCUGGACGGCCCGGACGAUCAUCCGUGGCUUUUAUGGUUCCGCUGCCUGGAGGCGUUCGUCACCGGGCGAGGUCGGCCUUGCUCCCAUUGCUGCUGUCCAUGGCGGCCGAGAUGGACAUGGCAAACUGCGGCUAUGUCGCAUCCUUGCCGCGGUGAGAUGAGCCGAGGCGAGGAAGGUGGAGCGCACGGGAGCACUUGAAGGGAGGAGAUGAUGAAACAGCCGACCUGCUGGAUGUGUGGGGCCCGAGAACCAAAGUAGCAUCAAGAAUAGUAGAUCUUUCCCGCAGUUGGGCGACUAUUUUGUCACACGCAAGAGCUUCCGCGCUUGGCCGAACACCGGGGCUCCUCGACUGUGCGGAGGUGUUCAAGAAUCGAGACCCACGCAUACUAUGAUUUGGGCAUCGGUGUCCGGUAGACCGGCACCAUCAGCUUCCCUCAUCCAUGCCUUCAACGAGCCAUCCGUGUCCGACUCCCUCUUCCUUGCAAUCGGAAAAAGAGAUAGCACAGCUCCUGUUGGCGUGUGGCCCACCCUCUGUCCACUGUUUCUCCUGUAAGUUCCCAAUCAUACUCAAGACUCUUUCUUCUCCAUCGCUUCUGGUAUGAAUUCCAAGAAAACUUAUGUGAUAUUCUUUCGAAUUUUAUGAAUUUAUUAGAAGUACAUAUUUGCUAUUCCUGACAUUACUUUGAUUUUUAUAAGAUGUAAUGCUAAAAUUGCAUGGAGAAGUCUACACCGUGCGCAAUUUUCUGGACGAUCACCGUUUUGUGAAAAUUCAAAGCGAACAAAACAGGGCUGUACAGGGGGACAAUCUUUCUGAAGUUCAGCUUGGCCAGGCUCCACCUUUAUUUCUUUUAGUAUGUUGGAUGAUUGUAACUAGAACACUGAUUUGAUGCAAUAAAGCUCCCUUUAACCCAAAAAUAAAUGGAAGGGUUGUUGAGCUUAUUUUCGGACCAUAAUUUGUCAUAUAGCUCUUCUGAAAUAAACCCUCACUUUCCUACUAUUCUUCCUACUAAACAUGUGUCUCAAAGAAAAAUACGUUUGUUAGCGCUGCAUUGCCACAUUUUAUGUCUCCGUUAUAGCUGGUAACUUGCACACUAUGUCAGGUUUACUUCUUUCUGGCAGUACAUUACUAAAAUCGAUAAUAUGUGUCAUAUCAACCAGAUCUUGCUUGACUUGUUAUGUAGUUCUAUCCUUGAAAUAGCAUUGUUUCUCUAUGCUUUCCCUACAAUUGAAAUGUUCUUGCUAGAAGCAAUCUAAAAGAAAAACCAAUUCAUUGUAUUGUUGAAAACUCAACAUUAAUUCCUUCAUUUGGUUCAUGUUUAUGUUCUUUAUAUGGAAGCUUUCGGAGUGCCGAUGGCUCAUGUCUUCAUUUCUGUUUUAACAGCCAAGAUCCGGACAAAUUGUGAUGGGCGUUUAUCUCCUGUUUGCGCGAAGUCAUCAUAUGGAUGUGUUUCUUAAUCUUGAAAUAUUGUGCUUGAGGUGUUAAUGCUGAAGAAUUAAGACUUAACUGUAUUGAGUUUGAUUUGUGGAUAGGCGUCAUUUUACAUUGUACUUUGUGUACGAACAAUAUGUUGUACAUCUAGAUUGUGAGCCCAAUUGACUUUUGACUACAUUGAAUUGGAGAAGCAUAUUCCCUGUCUCUUCUGUAAAUAGAAGUGCUGAAAAAUUGCUUCCGUGCAUUUGUACAUU